rnacentral:rRNA from 1 species
AUUGAACGCUGGCGGCAGGCCUAACACAUGCAAGUCGAACGGUAACAGGAAGAAGCUUGCUUCUUUGCUGACGAGUGGCGGACGGGUGAGUAAUGUCUGGGAAACUGCCUGAUGGAGGGGGAUAACUACUGGAAACGGUAGCUAAUACCGCAUAACGUCGCAAGACCAAAGAGGGGGACCUUCGGGCCUCUUGCCAUCGGAUGUGCCCAGAUGGGAUUAGCUAGUAGGUGGGGUAACGGCUCACCUAGGCGACGAUCCCUAGCUGGUCUGAGAGGAUGACCAGCCACACUGGAACUGAGACACGGUCCAGACUCCUACGGGAGGCAGCAGUGGGGAAUAUUGCACAAUGGGCGAAAGCCUGAUGCAGCAAUGCCGCGUGUAUGAAGAAGGCCUUCGGGUUGUAAAGUACUUUCAGCGGGGAGGAAGGGAGUAAAGUUAAUACCUUUGCUCAUUGACGUUACCCGAAGAAGAAGCACCGGCUAACUCCGUG